UUAAAUUAGUAAGGGCGCAUGGCGGAUGCCUUGGCACUAGAAGCUGAUGAAGGACGUGACGAACAACGAUAUGCUUCGGCGAGCUGUAAGUAAGCUUUGACCCGGAGAUUUCCGAAUGGGGAAACCCAGCAGUAGUAAUGUACUGUUAUCCUAUCAUGAAUACAUAGUGAUAGAGAAAGCAACCUGGCGAACUGAAACAUCUUAGUAACCAGAGGAAAAGAAAGAAAAAUCGAUUCCCUUAGUAGUGGCGAGCGAAAAGGGAUUAGCCCAAACCAAUCUUCGGAUUGGGGUUGUAGGACCUCUAUAUAAGAGUUAUAAAUUCUUUUUAUAGUUGAAUUCAAUGGAAAGUGAAACCAUAGUAGGUGAAAGUCCUGUAAGUGAAAUAAAAAGAACUCUUUGAGGUAUCCUGAGUACAACGGAUCACGUGGAACUCUGUUGGAAUCCGCGGGGACCAUCCCGCAAGGCUAAAUACUCUCUAGUGACCGAUAGUGAACAAGUACCGAGAGGGAAAGGUGAAAAGAACCCCGGGAGGGGAGUGAAAUAGAAUACUGAAACCAUGUGCUUACAAAAAGUCAAAGUCCGUUAAUGGAUGAUGGCGUGCCUUUUGCAGAAUGAACCGGCGAGUUAAUGUUGCAUGCGAGGUUAAGUUGAAGAGACGGAGCCGUAGCGAAAGCGAGUCUUAAUAGGGCGAAUUAGUAUGUAGUAUUAGACCCGAAACCGAGUGAUCUAGCCAUGAGCAGGUUGAAGUUUAGGUAAAACUAAAUGGAGGACCGAACCGACGUACCCGGAAACGUGCGCGGAUGACUUGUGGCUAGCGGUGAAAUUCCAAACGAACUCGGAUAUAGCUGGUUCUCCCCGAAAUAGGUUUAGGCCUAGCCUUGAGAUUUAGCACUGUGGAGGUAGAGCACUGAAUAUAUGAUGGCCCCGUCUAGGGGUACUGAAUGUAAUCAAACUCCGAAUGCCAUGGUUGUAUGCUCAGGAGUCAGCGUAUGGGUGAUAACGUCCAUGCGCGAAAGGAAAAGAGUCCGGAUCGCCAGUUAAGGUCCCAAAAUUUGUACUAAGUGGGAAAGGAUGUGGAGUUGUCAAAACAGCUAGGAGGUUGGCUCAGAAGCAGCCAUCCUUUAAAGAGUGCGUAAUAGCUCACUAGUCGAGUGACACUGCGCCGAAGAUGUACCGGGGCUAAGUACAAUACCGAAACUGCGGAUUCACAUUUAUAUGUGAGUGGUAGGGGAGCGUUCCAAGUUGAGUUGAAGGUAGACCGUGAGGACUGCUGGAUUACUUGGAAGUGAGAAUGCCGGUGUGAGUAGCGCAAGAUGGGUGAGAAUCCCAUCCACCGUUUGACUAAGGGUUCCUGGGGCAGGUUCGUCCGCCCAGGGUUAGUCGGGUCCUAAGACGAGGCCGAGAGGCGUAGCCGAUGGACAACAGGUUGAUAUUCCUGUACUACCUAUAAGACUGAUGGAGUGACGGAGAAGGUUAGGAAAAGCCAGUUAUUGGAUUCUGGUCUAAGCACAAAGGCUUAUAAAUUAGGAAAUCUGUUUAUAAUUAAGCUGAAGUGUGAUGGUGAAGUCGCUUGCGACGAAAUUUUCUGACACCAUGCUUCCAAGAAAAGCUUCUAAGGUUAAUCUUAUAGGUACCCGUACUCAGAACCGACACAGGUGGUCAAGGAGAGUAUCCUAAGGUGAGCGAGAGAACUAUGGUUAAGGAACUCGGCAAAAUAACCCCGUAACUUCGGGAGAAGGGGUGGUCACUAGAUGACCGACACUAAAGACGCCCAGGCAACUGUUUACCAAAAACACAGGUCUCUGCUAAGUCGUAAGACGAUGUAUAGGGGCUGACACCUGCCCAGUGCUGGAAGGUUAAGAGGAGUGCUUAGAUAGACGCAAGUCGAUUAUUCGAAGGUACGAAUUGAAGCCCCAGUGAACGGCGGCCGUAACUAUAACGGUCCUAAGGUAGCGAAAUUCCUUGUCAGGUAAGUUCU
rnacentral:rRNA from 1 species